UCAUUGAUUUAGUAAAUAAUGUAUAUGCCCACUUAAUGACCUUCUGAUCUCCAUCCACUUCUGCUCUGUCUACUACCACUAGUAGUAAAUGGAUCUCCAUAUGUCUACACACACAACGUUGUUUCCACAUCAUUUCAAUGAAAUUACGUUGAACCAACAUGGAAUAUAUGUUGAAUUGACGUCUGUGCCCAGUUGGUCUGUUCCCAGCUCUCUAAAUACUUAAUUUCCUCUGUCUACGUGGGCAAGCAAUUUCUCGGGUCCUGUUCACCAUAACUUUCUACACAGACACACAAAAUAUAAACUAACGAUAACCUACUAAUGUGAAGCUUCAUGCCUGUAAUCUAAGGCAAUGCUUUCAAUGAAGGUGUGUGUAUAGACAAUCAAAGUUGAUCGCUGCUUCAGGAUUGUGAAGCCUAUAUACUGUAAACUACAGUCCCAUCUCUAACUGCUGUUUGUGUGUCAUCUCAGCAGGUAAAAGCUCUGCGAAUGGACGGGGACCAGGAGGAAACCAGGAGCUGAACUAUGCAGACAUCACGCAAUUCCAGAAGAGGGACGGUGGGUCAGUUCAGCUGGGGAACCUGGGUACUUCCUCCACAGAGUAUGCUCAGGUCCGAGUCAACAACCGGCCUGGUCAGCCUGCCGAACCGCCCACCUACAAAGCCCACCAAUCCCAGUAUCCCCAGGUGAAAAAGCCUGUCCUUAAGCCUGCCCCCGAUGCUGCAUCCACCAUCUACUCAGACGUUCGAAGGAACUGACCACGCCUCCCUGUCAAUCAUCUGGACCAGUUGGGGUCAGUCAGGGCGACCAGGCCUGUUCAGACAUGGUCAAUGAAGCCCCACAACCUUCUCUUUGUCUAUGUGCCAACAAAACUUUUAUUCUAAUACUUUAUCCUUUAUUAGGCCUUACAGAUCCUUAAACAAACUAAAAUGUCAGUUAACCCUUUAGCUAUUAUCAAUUCAGUGGGUGUUCAUCUGUUUUAUAAUUUGUACUCAACUAAUAGUAACUGUCAUAAUAGAUCAUCAGAUCAUGAUGGAUAGUGAAUAUUUGUAUAGACACAAAAUAUACAGCUACAUACAUAAUGUGCCAUUAACCCUCUAGAGCAGGGAUCAACUAGAUUCAGCCACGGGCCGCAAGAAGCCCAAACAGAUAUAAUGUUUGACUAAAACAUAAUCAUUUCAAACCUUGCUUACAUCUGUAUACAAUCAUGUGUCUCUCUAUUAUGUGUGGGAAUACUUGGGAACAGAUUUCUUAAAUUGAAAUGACUUGGAGCUGAUUUCCUGGUGUUUUUCCAGUCUUUUAUCUCCACCAAUGAAGAAAAUAAUAAAAAUAAGAAAUUAGCUUGGGGGGCCAAAUAAGACCACCCAUGGGCCAAAUUCGGGGGAUGUUCUACUAAACUAACACAUGGAAUUGUUUUAAGAUGGUCAUACCAAGGAUCAUUUUAGAUGUUUGAUUUUGAAUUUUAAGACCCCUUAAAGAUAGUUUAUCUUACUGCUAUUUUCAGUUCCCAUACAUACUGUUGAGGUAACUGGAGGCCUAUUAUACCACAAAUUGGGAAAAUCAUUAGCAUGCAUCCCAUGGUUUAGCAGAAUAGCAACAUAGAGGAACACCAUCUCUCAGGGUGACGUGGGUACCAUUGCCCUGGUCAUUUGCAUUUACCGUUUGUACUGUUAGAUAUCAUAAAAGGGAAAU
ensembl:lncRNA